rnacentral:rRNA from 1 species
AAACCAGCACCUCAAGUGGUCAGGAUGAUUAUUGGGCCUAAAGCAUCCGUAGCCGGCUCUGUAAGUUUUCGGUUAAAUCUGUACGCUCAACGUACAGGCUGCCGGGAAUACUGCAGAGCUAGGGAGUGGGAGAGGUAGACGGUACUCGGGAGGAAGUGGUAAAAUGCUUUGAUCUCUCGAUGACCACCUGUGGCGAAGGCGGUCUACCAGAACACGUUCGACGGUGAGGGAUGAAAGCUGGGGGAGCAAACCGGAUUAGAAACCCUGGUAGUCC